rnacentral:rRNA from 1 species
GGGUUGUGAGGUUAAGCGACUAAGCGUACACGGUGGAUGCCCUGGCAGUCAGAGGCGAUGAAGGACGUGCUAAUCUGCGAUAAGCGUCGGUAAGGUGAUAUGAACCGUUAUAACCGGCGAUUUCCGAAUGGGGAAACCCAGUGUGUUUCGACACACUAUCAUUAACUGAAUCCAUAGGUUAAUGAGGCGAACCGGGGGAACUGAAACAUCUAAGUACCCCGAGGAAAAGAAAUCAACCGAGAUUCCCCCAGUAGCGGCGAGCGAACGGGGAGCAGCCCAGAGCCUGAAUCAGUGUGUGUGUUAGUGGAAGCGUCUGGAAAGGCGCGCGAUACAGGGUGACAGCCCCGUACACAAAAAUGCACAUACUGUGAGCUCGAUGAGUAGGGCGGGACACGUGGUAUCCUGUCUGAAUAUGGGGGGACCAUCCUCCAAGGCUAAAUACUCCUGACUGACCGAUAGUGAACCAGUACCGUGAGGGAAAGGCGAAAAGAACCCCGGCGAGGGGAGUGAAAAAGAACCUGAAACCGUGUACGUACAAGCAGUGGGAGCCUCUUUUAUGGGGUGACUGCGUACCUUUUGUAUAAUGGGUCAGCGACUUAUAUUCUGUAGCAAGGUUAACCGAAUAGGGGAGCCGAAGGGAAACCGAGUCUUAACCGGGCGUUAAGUUGCAGGGUAUAGACCCGAAACCCGGUGAUCUAGCCAUGGGCAGGUUGAAGGUUGGGUAACACUAACUGGAGGACCGAACCGACUAAUGUUGAAAAAUUAGCGGAUGACUUGUGGCUGGGGGUGAAAGGCCAAUCAAACCGGGAGAUAGCUGGUUCUCCCCGAAAGCUAUUUAGGUAGCGCCUCGUGAAUUCAUCUCCGGGGGUAGAGCACUGUUUCGGCAAGGGGGUCAUCCCGACUUACCAACCCGAUGCAAACUGCGAAUACCGGAGAAUGUUAUCACGGGAGACACACGGCGGGUGCUAACGUCCGUCGUGAAGAGGGAAACAACCCAGACCGCCAGCUAAGGUCCCAAAGUCAUGGUUAAGUGGGAAACGAUGUGGGAAGGCCCAGACAGCCAGGAUGUUGGCUUAGAAGCAGCCAUCAUUUAAAGAAAGCGUAAUAGCUCACUGGUCGAGUCGGCCUGCGCGGAAGAUGUAACGGGGCUAAACAAUGCACCGAAGCUGCGGCAGCGACACUGUGUGUUGUUGGGUAGGGGAGCGUUCUGUAAGCCUGUGAAGGUGUACUGUAAGGUAUGCUGGAGGUAUCAGAAGUGCGAAUGCUGACAUAAGUAACGAUAAAGCGGGUGAAAAGCCCGCUCGCCGGAAGACCAAGGGUUCCUGUCCAACGUUAAUCGGGGCAGGGUGAGUCGACCCCUAAGGCGAGGCCGAAAGGCGUAGUCGAUGGGAAACAGGUUAAUAUUCCUGUACUUGGUGUUACUGCGAAGGGGGGACGGAGAAGGCUAUGUUGGCCGGGCGACGGUUGUCCCGGUUUAAGCGUGUAGGCUGGUUUUCCAGGCAAAUCCGGAAAAUCAAGGCUGAGGCGUGAUGACGAGGCACUACGGUGCUGAAGCAACAAAUGCCCUGCUUCCAGGAAAAGCCUCUAAGCAUCAGGUAACAUCAAAUCGUACCCCAAACCGACACAGGUGGUCAGGUAGAGAAUACCAAGGCGUUUGAGAGAACUCGGGUGAAGGAACUAGGCAAAAUGGUGCCGUAACUUCGGGAGAAGGCACGCUGAUAUGUAGGUGAAGUCCCUCGCGGAUGGAGCUGAAAUCAGUCGAAGAUACCAGCUGGCUGCAACUGUUUAUUAAAAACACAGCACUGUGCAAACACGAAAGUGGACGUAUACGGUGUGACGCCUGCCCGGUGCCGGAAGGUUAAUUGAUGGGGUCAGCGCAAGCGAAGCUCUUGAUCGAAGCCCCGGUAAACGGCGGCCGUAACUAUAACGGUCCUAAGGUAGCGAAAUUCCUUGUCGGGUAAGUUCCGACCUGCACGAAUGGCGUAAUGAUGGCCAGGCUGUCUCCACCCGAGACUUAGUGAAAUUGAACUCGCUGUGAAGAUGCAGUGUACCCGCGGCAAGACGGAAAGACCCCGUGAACCUUUACUAUAGCUUGACACUGAACAUUGAGCCUUGAUGUGUAGGAUAGGUGGGAGGCUUUGAAGUGUGGACGCCAGUCUGCAUGGAGCCGACCUUGAAAUACCACCCUUUAAUGUUUGAUGUUCUAACGUGGACCCGUGAUCCGGGUUGCGGACAGUGUCUGGUGGGUAGUUUGACUGGGGCGGUCUCCUCCUAAAGAGUAACGGAGGAGCACGAAGGUUGGCUAAUCCUGGUCGGACAUCAGGAGGUUAGUGCAAUGGCAUAAGCCAGCUUGACUGCGAGCGUGACGGCGCGAGCAGGUGCGAAAGCAGGUCAUAGUGAUCCGGUGGUUCUGAAUGGAAGGGCCAUCGCUCAACGGAUAAAAGGUACUCCGGGGAUAACAGGCUGAUACCGCCCAAGAGUUCAUAUCGACGGCGGUGUUUGGCACCUCGAUGUCGGCUCAUCACAUCCUGGGGCUGAAGUAGGUCCCAAGGGUAUGGCUGUUCGCCAUUUAAAGUGGUACGCGAGCUGGGUUUAGAACGUCGUGAGACAGUUCGGUCCCUAUCUGCCGUGGGCGCUGGAGAACUGAGGGGGGCUGCUCCUAGUACGAGAGGACCGGAGUGGACGCAUCACUGGUGUUCGGGUUGUCAUGCCAAUGGCACUGCCCGGUAGCUAAAUGCGGAAGAGAUAAGUGCUGAAAGCAUCUAAGCACGAAACUUGCCCCGAGAUGAGUUCUCCCUGACCCUUUAAGGGUCCUGAAGGAACGUUGAAGACGACGACGUUGAUAGGCCGGGUGUGUAAGCGCAGCGAUGCGUUGAGCUAACCGGUACUAAUGAACCGUGAGGCUUAACCUUACAACGCCGAAGGUGUUU